GUCUAUGACUAUUCCACCCUGAACAUACCCAAUCUCGUCUAAUCUCAGAAGCUAAGCAGGGCCAGGCUUGGUUAGUACUUGGAUGGGAGACUGCUUGGGAAUAUUGGGUAAGAAAAGAAA
ensembl:rRNA 5S_rRNA 5S ribosomal RNA